UUGUUCCGAUCAGCUGCUGGAGCUGUAGUUCACACUUUGAUGUUGAUGGACAGAAAAACCCACUGAAGGAACAUGCUUUUGUCGGUGAACUGUGUGUUUUCAAACCAACUCAUCAACAGUAUUUCUGAGCAUGCUCAGUCAGUGUUUGAAGUCCAGCCUGUUCCAUUGCAUUAGUGUCGUCCCAGGAGGGCAUUUGAAAGUAUUCUGGUUUUAAACGUGGGCAUUUGUGAGCAUUGGAAGCCUCUUUUACCUCAGACCACAUGCAUCUGUACGGUCACAGACUGUUGUGUUCACUUGCUGCUCCGUUCAACCUCCACCUUUAACUCCAUCCAUUUACUUUAAGCAAAUGGAACCAUGUCCUUAACACACCUGCCCAUGUACGACUGCAGUAUUACACAUAUUUAAGGUGGGAUUUUUCGUUUUUCAGGGGGGUAAAGUCCUGUUUGGCAGGUAGGACGUUAAACUGAACAAACGGAACAUUCAUGGUUAAUGUCGGUGAUCACAUGACUUUAUCUAUAAAAGGUCGUCUGUAGUUUGUUUUUCAGUUUAAAUGAUGAAUAUUGACCUGUUGGAAGACAUUUCAGAUCUCAAAAAGCACAUCUGUUUAAAUGUAAGUGUUUAAUUUCAUGUUGUAAUCAGAGCCAUAUCCUGCUGCUAAAUCCAGUUUCCAUGACAACCGUUUGUUUGUGGGUGAAAAACCAUCGUCUGCCUUUUCUAAACCCACUAAACACCCAUGAAGGCAAAGAA